rnacentral:lncRNA from 1 species
AGAGAGAGAGAGAGAGAGAGAGAGAGAGAGAGAGAGAGAGAGAGAGGGGAGAGAGAGAGGCUCCUUUAGAAGGUAAUGAUGGCAAAAGAGGAAUCAUGAUUACAAAGGGACAGGGAAAGAUGAAGAUGAAGUUGAAUUUUUGAAGAUGGAAGAAGAACAAGUAUAAUAAAAACAUUACACAAAAAAAAAAACAGUAUCACAAAAACACUGCCUAACUCUCUCUAUAAUAUCUCUCUUCUU